GUGAUGGCACAGCUGGCAUCACAAGUGUAAGGACCAAAGUUUAAUCUUCAGAAGCCAUGUAAAAAUGCUAAGGGUGGUUAUAUAUGCUUAUUAUCCCAGGCACUGGAUAUGAUGAGACAGAUCUCUGGGGCUCACUGGCCAUCCAGGCUUGCUGGACUGGCAAGUUCCAAGCCAAGUGAGAGACUGUCUUUAAAACAAAAACAGAAACCAUGAAAAGCAAGGUGAAGAAUAAUAUUUGAGGCUAUUCUCUUGUUUCCAUGUGUGUGCAUGCACACACACACACGUGUACACACACACACAAGGAUAGAGUAGUAGAGAUGUGUGUGGUGAUGCAGUGUAGUCCCUAGAGAAACUGAGCAGGUCUCAGCAUUCCCGUUAGUCCAGUUCAGUUGGAGUAACCAAGUACACUAGGCCUUGAGAGUUAGCGGCCAGGUUCUGUGGUCAGACUGACCUUAGAUGGACUCCACACAGACUCACAGGAGCACAAAGGUUGAAAGAGGAAGUCCUGUGGGUGGUGAGAUCUGUCCCUGACCUAUCCUGCUGUGUGGCGUGGCUCAUUUCACUCUCCCUAGCCUAGCUCACAGUCACAAACACACCUUACCACUAAUCAUUUUGGAUCAUCUUCUCCAAACGUUUCUCCCAUUGCGAUGAGAUUCUAAAUCCUUGUCAUCUCCAACCUGUCCUCGGUUUCCCAGCUGGCUCGGCAUCCCGAGGCUGACAUUUCUCCCUCCCACACAGCUGCUACCUCACUCCCUGCCUGGUGCUCAAACUCAUCCUUCUUCCUGUCUCAUGUGGGAGCCAGGACCCCUCCUUCUGGACUUUGUGACAGCAACUGCCCAUCCUUCUCUUACCUUGUCUUUGCCAGAACUCCAGAACUCCCUAUGCAACUAACUACCUUCUUGCAGCCUUCAUCUAAAAACAAAACCAAAAAACCAAAAAACCAAAAAACCAAAAAACCAAAAAACCAAAAAACCCAAUAAAUAAAAGCAUCUCUAGUUUCACUUAGUGUGUGCAACUGAAAAAGCAAAAGGCCAGUGAAAAGCAAAGAUGCUUUUGAGAGGAAAAUCUCUUAAUCAAAUACAGAUAUCAAGAACAUGAGCAAGGGGACUGGAGAAGCUGCUAUCAAAGUAAAUUGGUUUUUGUACAAAUGUUCCUUUUAUUUGGGUUUUCCCCAGUGUGCUAUUCUCUCUUUAAGGCUUGGCGAACAGAUGCGCUUUUGAAAAUGUUGAUUACCUUAUCCUUUCCUUGACCCCUUCCCACUCAUCCACAUUCCUGGGACCGUGAUUAUCCCAAGAGCAGAGCUGAGCCACCGAAGUGUUCCUUACCUUAAGUGGCCUUUGCUUCUCCAGGUGCGGAAUCUCAGCUGGGGCUGAGCAAGCAAGUCCACUGAAACUUAGGAAUGGGCCAGUUCUUAGGAAACCGACUCACCAGUCCUCUGCCUCUAGAGAUGACAGGCCUAGUAGGAAAUGUCCUCACUGUCACUGCCUUAUAUUUGCUCUUUUCCCUUCAAGACCAAUGCCACAUUGUCCCUCUGUAGUCUAUGAUCAGUGGUGGCCUUGGUCUUCUUCUCUGGGGUAUGAGAUGGAGCAAGGUGACACUCCACCCUCCAUGAUAUUUCAUGGUCUUUGACAGAGGCGGAACACCUAAAUCAAGUGCAGGGAUUGGACCCAAGGUCACUGGUAAGAGCCCCCAAGGUUCUUGCCCAUAUCUGACUCGCAUAGCCUUAUCCAGGAUCCUGUAUCCUCUGCUCAUGAAAAUGUUAAGACCUAUGAGCAUUCCAUCAAAGUGAUUAAUUGUCAGGAAUGUGAGCUUCUUCCAGCUUCCUCUUGUUUUUCAAUACAUAAUCCUAUUUUUAAAAAAGGCUGGGUUGACUUUCAUAAGCUCGCUGUGAUCCCUGUGACAGACACCACCUGUGUCUUGUCCAAUCAUCUUCACAUCUUCAUUCCAAAGAAACAGCCUGCUUUGUGGGGGCCUGGAGAAUAAUGGGCACCGAGGUAGGAAAGCUGGCAUGGCCUGCAGGUGCCAGUUGCUAUACUAAAAGCAUGCCAGGAACAGGCUGGACUCACAGAGGACUGGCGCCACAUGGCAAUGGUCCUUUCCGGUGAAUCUUGGCAGCUUGUUCCGGUGUCCUUUUCUAGAGACCGAUGUGAACAUGCUUCAGCACUCUGGCCAGGAAUGAAGAAGACUUUUAAUAUGAUUGGAAAUGAGUAGAUUUCCAGGGCGACAGUGAUAGAUCUAUCCUCAGUUCAGCUCACGGUCAAGGAGAUGGUCUCCGAUACACGACACUGAUAGACAAGAUGUUGUUCCAUGUAGUCUACAGUUCUUCUCAUGGCUGUUUCAGCUCCUGGAGGUUUUAGGUGUCCUAGUCAGCUUGAGACACGGGCAACAAUGAAAAGACCCUGCUUUUCACAUAUUUAUCACAUAUUGGACUAUCUUCUUAGGUGUUUUAGCAUUUUAGAUGGGUAAUUUUCGUUGGUUCUGAUUUCUACAAGUUGGGCAGUUUUGUGUAUAAAUCACUCAUCUUGUACAUUCCUCAAAUUAUCAUAUAAAAUAUGG
rnacentral:lncRNA from 1 species